GACACCCGGUGAACAGCGGUCGGAACUAUAACGGUCCUAAGGUAGCGAAAUUCCUUGUCGGGUAAGUUCGGACUCGCACGAAAGGCG
rnacentral:ncRNA from 1 species